GAGGGUGUAGCUCAGUGGUAGAGCACCCUGCCUAGCAGGUGCAAGGUCCUGGGUUCAAUCCCCAGUACUUCCA
rnacentral:tRNA from 1 species